UAGGAUCAAAAUGGUUUCAAUCCCAGAAUACUAUGAAGGCAAGAAUGUCCUCCUCACAGGAGCUACCGGUUUUCUAGGGAAGGUGCUUCUGGAAAAGUUGCUGAGGUCUUGUCCUAAGGUGAAUUCAGUAUAUGUUUUGGUGAGGCAGAAAGCUGGACAGACACCACAAGAGCGAGUGGAAGAAGUCCUUAGUGGCAAGCUCUUUGACAGAUUGAGAGAUGAAAAUCCAGAUUUUAGAGAGAAAAUUAUAGCAAUCAACAGCGAACUCACCCAACCUAAACUGGCUCUCAGUGAAGAAGAUAAAGAGGUGAUCAUAGAGUCUACCAAUAUUAUAUUCCACUGUGCAGCUACAGUAAGGUUUAAUGAAAAUUUAAGGUAAGUACAGGUAGUUAUAUAAUAUUUGAACUUAAGUAUAGUUAUUAAAAAUCUCAUUUUAAUUCUACUUUUUA
rnacentral:sRNA from 1 species